AUUGAACGCUGGCGGCAGGCCUAACACAUGCAAGUCGAACGGUAACAGGAAGAAGCUUGCUUCUUUGCUGACGAGUGGCGGACGGGUGAGUAAUGUCUGGGAAACUGCCUGAUGGAGGGGGAUAACUACUGGAAACGGUAGCUAGUACCGCAUAACGUCGCAAGCACAAAGAGGGGGACCUUCGGGCGUCUUGCCGUCGGAUGUGCCCAGAUGGGAUUAGCUAGGAGGUGGGGUAACGGCUCAGCUAGGCGACGAUCGCUAGCUGGUGUGAGGGGAUGAGCAGCCACACUGGAACUGAGACACGGUCCAGACUCCUACGGGAGGCAGCAGUGGGGAAUAUUGCACAAUGGGCGCAAGCCUGAUGCAGCGAGGCCGCGUGUAUGAAGAAGGCCUUCGGGUUGUAAAGUACUUUCAGCGGGGAGGAAGGGAGUAAAGUUAAUACCUUGACUCAUUGACGUUACCCGCAGAAGAAGCACCGGCUAACUCCGUG
rnacentral:rRNA from 1 species